rnacentral:rRNA from 1 species
AUUGAACGCUGGCGGCAUGCCUUACACAUGCAAGUCGAACGGCAGCACGGGAGCAAUCCUGGUGGCGAGUGGCGAACGGGUGAGUAAUAUAUCGGAACGUGCCCAGUCGUGGGGAUAACGUAGCGAAAGCUACGCUAAUACCGCAUACGAUCUAUGGAUGAAAGCGGGGGAUCGCAAGACCUCGCGCGAUUGGAGCGGCCGAUAUCAGAUUAGGUAGUUGGUGAGGUAAAGGCUCACCAAGCCGACGAUCUGUAGCUGGUCUGAGAGGACGACCAGCCACACUGGGACUGAGACACGGCCCAGACUCCUACGGGAGGCAGCAGUGGGGAAUUUUGGACAAUGGGCGCAAGCCUGAUCCAGCAAUGCCGCGUGCAGGAUGAAGGCCUGGUGUAAC